rnacentral:SRP_RNA from 1 species
CGCCGGAACGGAAAGAAAUUGCAAGCUUGCGAACCCCGCCAGGGCUGAAAGGCAGCAACGGUAGCAUGACUUGGUUUGCCUUUCGUUCCGGUUUUU